rnacentral:lncRNA from 10 species
GUCUUCCCGGCCGGGUGGCACUGACCGGUCAUGCUCAGGGCCCCCUUCUGGUUGCCGGUGCCUCACCUCUGGCCAGGUGGCAUCGGCUUCCGGGUAAAUCUGAGCUGCCCAAAGCGAGCCUCCGGAGGCUGCUCCAUCUCCUGGAACGUUUACUCAUUCAGGCCUCUGGACGUCGAUACUGGGGAUGAAAAGUUCAGAAAGUGGACAGGCAGGUUCUGUCUUCCCGGGGGCGGGUGGUUAUGACUCCGUUUUACAGGCCAAGAGACCCAGGCUCACGGGCAUAAUUGACACAAUCUUGAGGGGAAGUGGACUGGAAUCUAUUUGAGUAGCCGUUUCUCCUACUUCUCCACAUUGCCCUCACUAAAUUCUGGAUCAGCUAAAGGCUUUUUCCCCUUAGUUUUCUUUAUGUGUUUUUCUGUAAAGCCGAAAAUUUAGUCAUUACUCUCAUUAUUACAUUAUCCUCAUUAUUACAACUUUAUUUCCACAUAUUGACAUGUGAGUCAUUGUCACCUCCUAGCUGUUUUUUGUUGUUGUUGUUGUUUUCUGAGACGGAGUCUCGCUCUGUCGCCCAGGCUGGAGUGCAGUGGCACGAUCUCGGCUCACUGCAACCUCCGCUUCCCGGGUUCAAGCAAUUUUCCUGUCUCAGCCUCCUGAGUAGCUGGGACUACAGGCGCUCACCACCAUGCCCAGCUAAUUUUUGUAUUUUUAGUAGAGAUGGGGUUUCACCAUAUUGGUAAGGCUGGUCUUGAACUCCUGACCUCAGAUGAUCCGCCUGCCUUGGCCUCCCAAAGUAUUGGGAUUAUAGGCGUGAGCCACCGCCCCUGGCCUGUUUCUUUUCUAGGUUAAAAGGAUACUCACUUAUCUAAGUUGAGAUUGGGGGAAAUAAUCACCUUUUGUGUCCUUGAUUGUAGCUUAGGAAUAUUUCUUAGUUGUUUUAGAGCAUUUCUCAAGUGUGAUCCAUGGGGCCACCUGCAUAUAUGCAUUUAUGAGCUGGGAUGCUUGUUAAAAUGCAGAUUCCUGGUCUUCAGUCCAGACCUACUGAGUUAAAAUAUUGAGGAGAGAUGGAGCUCAACAGAUGCCCUAGGUGACUCUGAUGUGGCCUAAGUCUGGGGAAACAGUACACCCUGCAGUACUUCUCCAACCUAACAGAAAUGCGGAUUCUGAUUCGGUAGGUAUGGGAUGGGGCCCAUGACUCUACAUUUCUAACAGGCUCUCGGGUAUUGCCAAUGCUACCCAUCCCUGGACCAUACUUGGAGUAUGAGAGAACAGGACUUUGCAUCAAAAGAUCUGGGUUUGAACCUUGACUAUGUAAAUUAAUGGCUGUGUGAUUUUAAAUGUGAUGAGUUACCUCUCUGCCCUAGUUUCCUUAAGAGCAAAAUGGAAACUCCUUUGGAGUUGUUGUGUGGGUCACAUAGUUGGAGGGAAUUGUAUGUAACUAGGGAAGUGAAAAGAAAGCCAAGGGAAAAUAAAGUUAGACAUCUGCCUUGUGUCAAAAUAAAACAAAGAUUGAAAUGUAAAAAGAAAAUGAAACCACUGCACUACUAGAAGAAGGUACAAGAGAUUUAUACAAUUUGGCGGUGGAAAAGCCUUUCUAACCAACAUUAAGGACAGAAAUUAUGAAAGCAAAGGCUGACAUAUUUGACAACAAAAGUAAAAGCUUCGAUGUAUUUUUUUAGAAUACAUAAAAACAAACGGAUAUAAAUACAAUCUUACCAUAUGAUGCAGAAAUCAGCUCCUUAGUAUUUACCCAAAUGAAUUGAAAACUUAUAUCCACAGAAAAGCCUGUACAUGGAUGUUCAUAGUGGCUUUAUUCAUAAGUGCCAAAAAUUGGAAGCAACUAACAUGUCCUUCAGUAAGUGAAAGGAUAAUCUGUGGUACAUCCAGACAAUGGAAUCUUAUUCAGCACUAAAAAGAAAUGAGCUAUCAAGCCAUAAAAAGACACAGAGGAAACUUAAAUGCCUAUUACUAAGUGAAAGAAGCCAAUCCGAAAAUGCUAUGUACUGUACGAUUUCAUCUUUAUGACAUUCUGGAGAAGGCAAAAUUAUGGAGGAAGUAAAAAGGUCAGUAGUUUCUAGGUGUUAGGGAGAAGGAAGGAAUGAACAGGCAGAGAACAGAGGAUUUUUAUGGCAGUGGCUCUACUUUUUAUGGUACUAUAAUGAUGGAUACAUGUCAUUAUAUAUUUGUCAAAACCCACAGAAUGUACAACACCAAGAGUGAAUGUAAGUGAUAAUGACUCGUGAAUUUCAGAUCAGUUUUAGGUUCACAGCAAAAUGGAGCAUAAAGUACCGAGAGUUCCCAUAUACCCCCACCCUCCCCGACACACAGCCUCCCCCACUAUCAACAUCCUGAACCAAUGGAACAUUCGUUACAAUCAAUAAACC